UACGUAGGGUGCAAGCAUUAAUCGGAUUUACUGGGCGUAAAGCGUGCGCAGGCGGUUAUGCAAGACAGAUGUGAAAUCCCCGGGCUCAACCUGGGAACUGCAUUUGUGACUGCAUAGCUGGAGUGCGGCAGAGGGGGAUGGAAUUCCGCGUGUAGCAGUGAAAUGCGUAGAUAUGCGGAGGAACACCGAUGGCGAAGGCAAUCCCCUGGGCCUGCACUGACGCUCAUGCACGAAAGCGUGGGGAGCAAACAGG
rnacentral:rRNA from 1 species